UUUACCCAGGUGUUCUGUUUAGAAUGGUGUUUUCCCCAGGUGUUCUGUUUAGAAUGGUGUUUUCCCCAGGUGUUCUGUUUAGAAUGGUGUUUUCCCCAGGUGUUCUGUUUAGAAUGGUGUUUUCCCCAGGUGUUCUGUUUAGAAUGGUGUUUUCCCCAGGUGUUCUGUUUAGAAUGGUGUUUUCCCCAGGUGUUCUGUUUAGAAUGGUGUUUUCCCCAGGUGUUCUGUUUAGAAUGGUGUUUUCCCCAGGUGUUCUGUUUAGAAUGGUGUUUUCCCCAGGUGUUCUGUUUAGAAUGGUGUUUCCCCC